CGAACAACAACUUCAACCUGGGACAUGUACCCUGGAACGAGGAGAUCAAGAAGACAACAGACAGCUGGUUGAGUCAGGACAGGAGGCUCGGACACUGUCCGGGAUACAACAAGUUCCCUAAAUUCGGGGGAUAUUGCUUUGUGGGAAAUUAUGGAGCUAGCGAAUAUGAGGUAUGCGAGGAUUUCUUUGCCAAGUUUGCUUCUCUUAUAAAGAAUGAACACCCCUACAGCGCUCCUUCAGCAUGUUCUUCACGGUACCACAACGGAAAGUGGUACGUUUACUGCAGGUACGCAUACGACAAGAAGUAGUGGAGGGACACAGUUUAGGAGCUUAGGAGGGGGUUAUAUUUCGCUUAUAUUAGCAAUUAGGACCAAUAUUUGUGGAUUGAUAUUUUUUACUGUUGAAAAA